AUUGAACGCUGGCGGAAUGCUUUACACAUGCAAGUCGAACGGUAGAGGGGGCAACCCCUCGAGAGUGGCGAACGGGUGAGUAAUAUAUCGGAACGUGCCCAGUCGUGGGGGAUAACGUAGCGAAAGUUACGCUAAUACCGCAUACGAUCUAAGGAUGAAAGCGGGGGAUCGCAAGACAUCGCGCGAUUGGAGCGGCCGAUAUCAGAUUAGGUAGUUGGUGGGGUAAAGGCUCACCAAGCCAACGAUCUGUAGCUGGUCUGAGAGGACGACCAGCCACACUGGAACUGAGACACGGUCCAGACUCCUACGGGAGGCAGCAGUGGGGAAUUUUGGACAAUGGACGCAAGUCUGAUCCAGCCGUUCCGCGUGCAGGAUGAAGGCCCUCGGGUUGUAAACUGCUUUUGUACGGAACGAAAAGGUCUCUCUUAAUACGGGGGACUCAUGACGGUACCGUAAGAAUAAGCACCGGCUAACUACGUGCCAGCCGCCGCAGUAACAC
rnacentral:rRNA from 1 species